UAUUUCUCUUGUAUACAAUAGCCGACUGAGCAAAUUUGUUGGUGGCUUUAUGGCCAAUUUUAUCAUUAUAUUUUCAGUCUUUCCCAAUGCUUCUGUUGUCAUAUUCGCAGCACCGUUGAUCAAUUCAGUGGAGAAAGCACACCAGUAAUCCUGCCUUUGAAAGAAAAACAGGUUUCGGCUGCAAGGACUUGCAAUUGUAUAUUUGUAUAUAUUUUUUGCUUCAGCAAAGGCAGCGUGACAUUGAGUUUAGGAAAUCUGAUAAUGAACAGAGAUAGAGGAAAUUGAUGGUUCAAGUUCAAGCUUCAGUCAACUGUUUGGAAUUGAAGUUUAACAAGGAUCUACCUUCCGCAUUGCGCAAUAAAAGUUAUGUUUGGUAACCAACCCUUUACUUUAUUAAUUAGUAAUCAAAUGUGAAUAUUUCUACUAGCAACUAAGUCAUAACAUUGUUACUUAAUUGAACCUUCUUGAUGUCUUUUACAGGGAGCUAUCACUAAACAAAUGACUGCAAUAGAAGAAAUAGUUGCAAGUGAGUACAAUUAGCCAGACCCUCAUCUUUGUGACAAGAUCUUGAAGUUGGUCAUUUGUGAAACGUUCUAGUUUACUAUUAGUU